CCUACGAGAGGCAGCAGUGGGGAAUAUUGGGCAAUGGGCGCAAGCCUGACCCAGCAACGCCGCGUGAAGGAAGAAGGCUUUCGGGUUGGAAACUUCUUUUCUGAGGGACGAAGAAAGUGACGGUACCUCAGGAAUAAGCCACGGCUAACUACGUGCCAGCAGCCGCGGUAAGACGUAGGUGGCAAGCGUUAUCCGGAUUUAUUUGGUGUAAAGGGCGUGUAGGCGGGAAAGCAAGUCAGAUGUGAAAACUCAGGGCUCAACCCUGAGCCUGCAUUUGAAACUGUUUUGUUGGAGUGCUGGAGAGGCAAUCGGAAUUCCGUGUGUAGCGGUGAAAUGCGUAGAUAUACGGAGGAACACCAGUGGCGAAGGCGGAUUGCUGGACAGUAACUGACGCUGAGGCGCGAAAGCGUGGGGAGCAAACAGGAUUAGAUACCCCGGUAGUC
rnacentral:rRNA from 1 species